rnacentral:rRNA from 1 species
CCUACGGGGGGCAGCAGUGGGGAAUAUUGGACAAUGGGGGGAACCCUGAUCCAGCCAUGCCGCGUGUGUGAAGAAGGCCCUCGGGUUGUAAAGCACUUUCAGUGAGGAAGAACGCCUGGUGGUUAAUACCCAUCAGGAAAGACAUCACUCACAGAAGAAGCACCGGCUAACUCCGUGCCAGCAGCCGCGGUAAUACGGAGGGUGCGAGCGUUAAUCGGAAUUACUGGGCGUAAAGGGCGCGUAGGUGGCUUGAUAAGCCGGUUGUGAAAGCCCCGGGCUCAACCUGGGAACGGCAUCCGGAACUGUCAAGCUAGAGUGCAGGAGAGGAAGGUAGAAUUCCCGGUGUAGCGGUGAAAUGCGUAGAGAUCGGGAGGAAUACCAGUGGCGAAGGCGGCCUUCUGGACUGACACUGACACUGAGGUGCGAAAGCGUGGGUAGCAAACAGGAUUAGAUACCCCUGUAGUC